rnacentral:rRNA from 1 species
GAUGCAGGUUACCCGCGACAGGACGGAAAGACCCCGUGGAGCUUUACUGCAGCCUGAUAUUGAAUGUUGGUACAGCUUGUACAGGAUAGGUAGGAGCCUUGGAAACCGGAGCGCCAGCUUCGGUGGAGGCAUCGGUGGGAUACUACCCUGGCUGUAUUGACCUUCUAACCCGCCGCCCGUAUCGGGCGGGGAGACAGUGUCAGGUGGGCAGUUUGACUGGGGCGGUCGCCUCCUAAAAGGUAACGGAGGCGCCCAAAGGUUCCCUCAGAAUGGUUGGAAAUCAUUCGCAGAGUGUAAAGGCACAAGGGAGCUUGACUGCGAGACCUACAAGUCGAGCAGGGACGAAAGUCGGGCUUAGUGAUCCGGUGGUUCCGCAUGGAAGGGCCAUCGCUCAACGGAUAAAAGCUACCCCGGGGAUAACAGGCUUAUCUCCCCCAAGAGUCCACAUCGACGGGGAGGUUUGGCACCUCGAUGUCGGCUCAUCGCAUCCUGGGGCUGUAGUCGGUCCCAA